AAGAAGGUGGUAGAGGGGUAAUAUGGUCGUCUUGAAAUCGGCUUACGUAGGUUCAAAUCCUACCCUUUUUG
rnacentral:tRNA from 1 species